GUGUUAGUAGUGCUGACCACAAGAGAAGGGUCAUUUUGCUCACUGUAUGCAAAAUGAGCCCCUACUUUCGUUUUGUUUAUUUAUUUUUUGCUAUUAUUGACAAGAGUACAAAACUUUAAGGAGGGAGGUAGUUUAUCAGGAAGACUACAAUGGGCCACAGUGUAAUAUUCAGGUGAACAGCAUCCACAUAUUCCAGUGCACAUGAACUUUGUACCCUCUUGUGUUGGCAAUAGGUAUUUUACAUUUCCCCCUCAUUUUUUCUCCUAGCAGCUCAAGGUUGGGGAGCAGUGUACACUAUGACACUAUGAAGUAGGUGAGGUGCAGAGACCAAAGGUCACUCGGUAAGCUUUAUAUGGCAGUGUGGGGGUUUGAACCAGUGUCUUCCCCAGUCCUAGUCCUUAUCUGAUAUUCUAACCACUGCAUUUCAAUCAUGCUAGCUCCCGUCUGCUGAAUUCGCACAGCUGUUAAAGGCAAAGGAAUAAAAGUUGGCAACUGGGCAGUAUACCAGUGAACUUCAGCACCUAAGCAGAAGCCGAAAGUCAAAAGGUAUAAGGUAUUGCCAAACUUUUAACAGGAGGAAAGGACUUCUCUUUUAAUAGUGACACAUGGGGAAACUUCAUUAGUUGUAGCAUCUGCCCUCCUUGUGAGAAGGUGCAUCUGCUGGAGAAAUGCUGCUGAUCUGUUAAGCCCAUCAAACACAUGGAAAAUGAUUUAAGUAUUGCCAAACCUUGGUGGUGAUCUUUCAGAUGAUAGGAACUGGAGAGAAUGAACUUAACAUUUAGUAAAUAUGUUGGAAUGGUAGGUUUUAAUUUUUUACACUUCUGUUUUCAGUACUUGUACCCUGCUCUUAUAAGUGGAGUGGUUUUCAGAGUGGCUUAAAUUGUACUUUAAACUUAAGUAGCAAAAUAUAUUGAAUGGUAGUUUGCCGUGGACCAGGAGGCAAUGCAGUUGAAACUCAGCUGUCCCACUUGCUUAUUUAUGGCAUUUUUAUAGUGUUUAAAUUACCAAAGUCUCCCAAGUUAGUGGUCUGCAGUAGUUGCAAAAUACAACUAUGUUGGAAAGGGGCUAGAACCUGCAAACGUCUCUGCAGUCAUGAACCCUGUUCUGUUUCCCAUCUAGGCACACAUAAGAGCCAGGCUUUUGUUCGGUUCAUCAAAAUUGCUGCAAUUAAAAAUAAGGGCAUUGGCUGAAUUUUACAAGAGUAUUUGUAUCCAUUCUUCAGUCAAAAAGGCUCCCAGAGCAGCUUACAUACAAUCAAUGAAACAGGACAGUUUCUGCCUGCAAGCUUAUAAUGUAAACAACACACAAGGGGGAUUUCUCCUUGCCCACCCUCCUUUCCCC